UUUAGUUGUAUUGUAGCAGAACAACCACAGGAGAAUCAAGACAAUGCUGUCUAUUGUAAGUUAAGGACAAGCACCAGUACACCAUCAGGAAAAUGAUUCCAACAAUUAAUCAGAAGCCAAAAGGCAAGAUUACUUUAAUGUGUACUAGCAUAUACCCACGUUUUGAAUAGGGAUCAGGGCUCAGGGGCAGGGCCGGUGUGUGUGGCAGCUCAUGUGUGUAUGGCGGCUGCAGGCCGGUCAGUUUGGUCAAAUUUCUGAAUCCAGCCUAGCUACUCACCAACCUAACCUGGAGCAUGCUAAAUUGCCAGGCACAUGAGCAAAGCAAUAAGGUGACCUGAGCCACCUGUACUUACUGUGAUGGCAGCUCAGGUACAAAUGUUUACUUGGGAUAUCAUCUUUAUGAGACUUAACCAUCAGUGAACAAACCUAGAUUCUUUAAUUUGGACCUCUUCUUAAACUUUGGAGUGGAAUUUGGCCCCAAAUCAAGGAGACCAGCAGCGUAACCAAAUGCUAAUUCCUUUGUUUUCUGAAGAAAGAACAAAUUGAACUUGGUUGUUUCAUUCAUGCUGACUGAUGGAGAUGCGAAACAUGCAGAACUUGGGACAAAAAGAUGGGAAGGGGGAUCAGAGAAAUUGAUGAGGCAGGAAACGAAGGAUACUGAAGAGGUAUCUCUCCCACCAAUCCAUGACGUAGAGGCCAACGGUGACGUUGUACAGGAACAGUUUCCUGCUGAUCCAGCUCAUCUCUUCUCCUCCCCUUUGCCUCUUGGUUCCCGCCAUUGGUUCCAAGCGAGCGAGAGAUGACGCUGCUAGCUGUUCGCUUGGAACUUGUCUGGAUUAUUUAUGCAGU
rnacentral:lncRNA from 1 species